rfam:Triticum aestivum genome assembly, contig: Triticum_aestivum_CS42_TGACv1_scaffold_158250_2DL
UACGUACUCCCUCCGUCCCGAAAUACUUGUUGGAGAAAUGAAUAAAAUUAGAUGUAUCUAUAAUUAAAAUACGUCUAGAUUCAUCCAUUUUUCCGACAAGUAUUUCCGGACGGAGGGAGUACUAU